AUACUUACCUGGCAGGGGAGAUACCAUGAUCAUGAAGGUGUUUUUCCCAGGGCGAGGCUUAUCCACUGCACUCCAGAUGCACUGACCCCUCCAAUUUUCCCAAAUAUGGGAAACUCAACUGCAUAAUUUGCGGUAGUGGGGGACUGCAUUCGCGCUUAA
ensembl:snRNA U1 U1 spliceosomal RNA